rnacentral:rRNA from 1 species
CAGUCGCCGCGGUAAUACGAAGGGUGCAAGCGUUACUCGGAAUUACUGGGCGUAAAGCGUGCGUAGGUGGUGGUUUAAGUCCGUUGUGAAAGCCCUGGGCUCAACCUGGGAAUGGCAAUGGAUACUGGCAAGCUAGAGUGUGUCAGAGGAUGGUGGAAUUCCCGGUGUAGCGGUGAAAUGCGUAGAGAUCGGGAGGAACAUCAGUGGCGAAGGCGGCCAUCUGGGACAACACUGACACUGAGGCACGAAAGCGUGGGGAGCAAACAGGAUUAGAUACCCGAGUAGCCCUGUCUCUUAUACA